rnacentral:rRNA from 1 species
UACGGAGGGUGCGAGCGUUGUCCGGAUUUAUUGGGUUUAAAGGGUGCGCAGGUGGGUAUUUAAGUCUGGUUUGAAAGCAGGUGGCUCAACCAUCUGAUGUGGCUGGAAACUGGAUAUCUUGAAUGGGUUGGCGGUAGCCGGAAUGGGUCAUGUAGCGGUGAAAUGCAUAGAUAUGACCCGGAACACCGAUUGCGAAGGCAGGCUACUACGACUUGAUUGACACUGAGGCACGAGAGCAUGGGUAGCGAACAGG